rnacentral:rRNA from 1 species
AGUGGCGGACGGGUGAGUAACGCGUGGGUAACCUGCCUUAUACAGGGGGAUAACAGUCAGAAAUGGCUGCUAAUACCGCAUAAGCGCACAGAGCUGCAUGGCUCAGUGUGAAAAACUCCGGUGGUAUAAGAUGGACCCGCGUUGGAUUAGCUAGUUGGUGGGGUAACGGCCCACCAAGGCAACGAUCAGUAGCCGACCUGAGAGGGUGACCGGCCACAUUGGGACUGAGACACGGCCCAGACUCCUACGGGAGGCAGCAGUGGGGAAUAUUGCACAAUGGAGGAAACUCUGAUGCAGCGACGCCGCGUGAGUGAAGAAGUAAUUCGUUAUGUAAAGCUCUAUCAGCAGGGAAGAUAGUGACGGUACCUGACUAAGAAGCUCCGGCUAAAUACGUGCCAGCAGCCGCGGUAAUACGUAUGGAGCAAGCGUUAUCCGGAUUUACUGGGUGUAAAGGGAGUGUAGGUGGCAUCACAAGUCAGAAGUGAAAGCCCGGGGCUCAACCCCGGGACUGCUUUUGAAACUGUGGAGCUGGAGUGCAGGAGAGGCAAGUGGAAUUCCUAGUGUAGCGGUGAAAUGCGUAGAUAUUAGGAGGAACACCAGUGGCGAAGGCGGCUUGCUGGACU